UAAUCUCUUUUAAUAUUGGAGCAUCUGUGAUCUGUGAAAAUUUGUGCUGGUCACAGUUAUCCUCAGAUGAGUUGGAUGCUGAUAUUAGAGCUGUUUUUGCAUUUGUGGUAUGUGAAAGUGUGAGCUGGUCAGAGUUAUCCUCCGGGAAACUUGUUGUUAACUUAAUUGCACCCUCAAUGUUUUGAGUCUCAGAUACAACAUUGGUCAGAGUUAUCCUCUGGGAAACUUGUUGUUAACUUAAUUGCACCCUCAAUGUUUUGAGUCUCAGAUACAACAAUACUUGGAUGUUGCUGUCCAGAUCCAGAAACUGAG
rnacentral:lncRNA from 1 species